rnacentral:rRNA from 1 species
UACGUAGGUGGCAAGCGUUAUCCGGAUUUACUGGGUGUAAAGGGCGUGUAGGCGGGAGAGCAAGUCAGACGUGAAAUUCCAGGGCUCAACCCUGGAACUGCGUUUGAAACUGUUCUUCUUGAGUGAUGGAGAGGCAGGCGGAAUUCCGUAUGUAGCGGUGAAAUGCGUAGAUAUACGGAGGAACACCAGUGGCGAAGGCGGCCUGCUGGACAUUAACUGACGCUGAGGCGCGAAAGCGUGGGGAGCAAACAGG